CUCCUGGGUGGAUUUAUGGGAAGAUGUCACUUAGACAGGUCUGUCAGAACCCAGAUUUGUUUCACCACAGAACCCAAAGCUAAAAAAAUAACAAUCAAAUAAUAAUAGGUUCACAUUUGCAAAGGAAAAGAGGGAUAUUUUUUCUUGACUGGUUCAAGUCAAAUCUGAGUUCAUCCCUACAAACCCAGAGCAGCCAGUGUAGUAUGCUUCUAAACACUGACUUUUCUACUUUCUUGGUCAUUUUGGAGGUCAAAAAGGGAGAGAAGGAGAGAGGAAACUGAAAGUUGGGAGUUAACCCUUGGAAACUGUCAAGAUCAUUUGAGUAUAACUUGAGAGGUGUUUUCCCCAUUUACAAAAUGUCUCAUCUGAACAGUUCACAGCACUUCACACUCAGUUCUCACAAUAUUGCACUUUUCUGCCAAUGCAGGCAUCUCAAACUCACACGGUACCAAACUGAAUUAAUAUGAUAGCACAGCUUUAGGGCCAAGGGAAAGCAUUGCCUCUUUCACAUACCCACAUAAAACCUCCACCCCCAUUACUGCAGCUGCUCUGUUCCAUCCCUUUCUGUUGUUUGGUUUGCCAGAAGUACUGCUAGAAGGAGGUCUGAAAGGGAAGGUUUCAGAGGAAGACUGUGUGGCUGCCACAUUCAUUUUUGGAACUGGAGAACAGACUCAACAGGAACGGGGACAGGGAAUCACAGAUCUUCACUGGUGGCAUUUUAUACUGGGAUCAAGGCAGUCAGCCAAGACAAGCAUACGUCCGAUUGUUUCAGCUGAUAAAGUAAUGGCAGAAGGAGUCAAGGCAUCCAUUCCCUGAGCACAGAUGCAGGCUGACCCGCUCGUUCUUGAAAUGUGGACUGUAUUCAAGAUGCCACUUCAGCAGCAAAGAGUAGAACAGCUCAUACUUGGAACUGCAAAGUAAACUCUGAUCACCCUCUUGCUUGGAACAUGCUCAAGACAGAGAAAAUUUCUGGAAUAUUACACAUCAAAAAUCACUAGGAAUCUCUACUGUACUUCUACUGACAAUUUUUUUCCCAAGCAUCUGAAACCUGGAAAAAUAGAGGAGUAGAAAAAAUAUGUUUCUGAUAUGAAGACCAAGUCCUUGCCAAAGAGAAAGCUGUCCAGUACAUCGGAAGAUUCAAGUACCACGUCUUAACACUUCCAAAUUCCUCUCUUAGAAGGAUGUGUUUUGAUUGCCAUUCUCUCAUGUCAAACUUCUCCUCAGGUAAACAGAUUGCAGCAGAGACCUGGUCAGAAAAUAUAAAUCCAAAAUAUUGAAAUCUUCUAGACCUCAAAGAACUCAAAACAGACAAUUAGAAAACAUUAUAUAACUUUGUCACAGACCAUUCAAAAUCAGGUUUGCUUACGUUUUAAAAAAAUAUUUUAAAAAUUUUUUGUCCUGAUAGGUAUGCAGAAAAAGAAAGAAAUUUGUCAAGCAAAUCAACAAGCAGGCAUAGAAAAAAAUAACACAGACUAUAACUUGGCUUUAAUUAAAGUGUUUGCUCUGAAUUUCUAUAAGACAGUGGAAGCUUGAGCCAGCAAUUUAUUUUGAGUAAUUAAAUCUGUUUCCUUCUGUCACAUUUUGUUAUAGCAAAGAAUAUUUAUGCCAAUCUUUUUCAGAAAAUGUAAUGCAUUUGGAAAUAGUUGAAUAAAUGUUUCUCAGUAAUGACAGACUAGAAGUCCAAACGUGUG
rnacentral:lncRNA from 1 species